rnacentral:rRNA from 1 species
GUUAUUAAGGGUGCAGGGCGGAUGCCUUGCCUUCAAA